AAUCAACGCUGGCGGCGUGCCUAACACAUGCAAGUCGAACGGGAAAGUGGAGCAAUCCAUGAGUACAGUGGCGUACGGGUGAGUAACACGUGACUACCUACCUUCGAGUGGGGGAUAACCCCGGGAAACCGGGGCUAAUACCGCAUAACAUCGAAAGAUCAAAGGAGAAAUCCGCUGGAAGAGGGGGUCGCGGCUGAUUAGCUAGUUGGUAGGGUAAUGGCCUACCAAGGCGAUGAUCGGUAGCCGGCCUGAGAGGGCGCACGGCCACACUGGAACUGAAACACGGUCCAGACUCCUACGGGAGGCAGCAGUGGGGAAUUUUGCGCAAUGGGGGAAACCCUGACGCAGCAACGCCGCGUGGAGGAUGAAGUCCCUUGGGACGUAAACUCCUUUCGACCCGGACGAUAAUGACGGUACGGGUGGAAGAAGCCCCGGCUAACUUCGUGCCAGCAGCCGCGGUAAG
rnacentral:rRNA from 1 species